rnacentral:rRNA from 1 species
CCUACGGGAGGCAGCAGUGAGGAAUAUUGGUCAAUGGACGAGAGUCUGAACCAGCCAAGUAGCGUGAAGGAUGAAUGCCCUAUGGGUUGUAAACUUCUUUUAUAUGGGAAUAAAACGUUCCACGUGUGGGAUUUUGUAUGUACCAUAUGAAUAAGGAUCGGCUAACUCCGUGCCAGCAGCCGCGGUAAUACGGAGGAUCCGAGCGUUAUCCGGAUUUGUUGGGUUUAAAGGGGGCGUAGGUGGUUUGUUAAGUCAGUUGUGAAAGUUUGGGGCUCAACCGUAGAAUUGCAGUUGAAACUGGCAGUCUUGAGUACAGUAGAGGUAGGCGGAAUUCGUGGUGAAGCGGUGAAAUGCUUAGAUAUCACGAAGAACUCCGAUUGCGAAGGCAGUUCACUGGACUGCAACUGACGCUGAGGCUCGAAAGUGUGGGUAUCAAACAGGAUUAGAUACCCCUGUAGUC